rnacentral:tRNA from 1 species
GCCCGAUUAGUUUAAUGGUAAAACAAGGAUCUUGUAAGUCUUAGUUAACUGUUCGAUUCAGUUAUUGGGCA